rnacentral:rRNA from 1 species
CUGCUGCCUCCCGUAGGAGUUUGGGCCGUGUCUCAGUCCCAAUGUGGCCGUUCACCCUCUCAGGCCGGCUACUGAUCGUUGCCUUGGUAGGCCAUUACCCCACCAACUAGCUAAUCAGACGCGGAACCAUCGUAUACUAUCAGAGUUUUUCACACCGCUUCAUGCGAAGCUGUGCGCUUAUGCGGUAUUAGCACCUAUUUCUAAGUGUUAUCCCCCAGUAUACGGCAGGUUUUCCACGCGUUACUCACCCGUCCG